rnacentral:lncRNA from 1 species
UGCGCAUCACUCACUCUUGCUUUGGUCGACAUGUUCAUCCUGAUUCGUACAAAUGCACAAUUUUGCUACGUCAAAAGUGCACAUGAGCCCACACCGCAAAUGAAACUUUUUCUUAAUUCUAUUUGUUGCGACGAGAUCACACAUGAAACAUUAUGCAAUUACAUUUCGUCACAAAGGGAAAAGCAUGGCGUGGUUGCGAAGCGAGUUCGAAGACUCCAAAAAGGCAGAUCAGCAGCUUUCACUAAACAAAAAUCAUUUGGGCCAUCAGUUUCAACUUUCUUUUUCGAUAAUCAGUAUCAACUUUUGAGGCAAUGUGGAAUGUGUUACACAGUUUGGUUAUGGUACAGAGUCCAUUUCUUAUUUCCAGUUCAUGUUCGCUGGUUCUUAUUAUUAUUGCCUACUGCGGCCAGGCAGGAAACAUUUCUCUGCUUUGGUUGUUAGCCUGAGACCUCACAUGACACUGUCCUGAAGCAAUGGUCCUGGCCAUUAAUGUUACAUAAGGUCAUUAGAUCACCCUUCACAAUCGUGAUCAUUGGGGCACACAAUCAGUCCAGUGUGUUGCUCAGUUAAAACAGUGGUUAGUGCUGUAUAGUCGUCUGUCAAACAGUAGUGAACAUAGUCAUUGUUGUGCCUUAAUUGAAGGCACAUGCACACAUGUGCAGUCUUUUCAAGCCAAAACCAUGCAUUCAUAAUAUUGGCAUUUGUUGUGAUGGUAGCUGAUGAUAGUCUGCCUGUGUGCUGCCAUUUUCACAGAGGGGAUCGCCGACUCGCAGAGAUGGAGCCUGAUCUGCAAGCUCUCCGUGUGCAUCGCCAAGGGGCUCGACCACCUGCACACGGGGAUGGAGAAGCCGAUCAUCCACGGCAACCUCAAGACGAGCAACAUCCUCCUCGACGCCAGCUACGAGUGCAGGAUCUCGGACUACGGCCUCUACCUCCUGCUCAACACCGGCGGCGCCCACGAGAUGCUGGAGGCGUCGGCGGCGCAGGGGUACAAGGCGCCGGAGCUGGUCAAGAUGAGGGACGCCACCAGGGAGAGCGACGUGUACAGCCUGGGCGUGGUGCUGCUGGAGAUGCUCGCGCAGAAGGAGCCCGCCGGCGACGACGACCGCGCGCCCAGCUCCCGCGACAUCUUCCUGCCGGCGUCGUUCAAGAACCUGGUGCUCGAGAGGAAGAUCUCCGACGCCUUCAGCUCCGACCUCGUCAGGCAGAGCAGGAAGUCGGGGAACGAGAAGAAGCUGAACGCGUUCUUCGAGCUGGCCACGGCGUGCUGCAGCCCUUCGCCGUCGCUCCGGCCCAACACCAAGGAGAUACUCAGAAGGCUUGAGGAGAUAGCAAAAUAAUUAACUAAAUGUGGGUAGGUUCACCAUUCAGACGUAGCACGAGGCAAGGCUCAAGGAACGACUGAACCUCUGCUGGACGGAAAAUUGGAGAAUGGAGGCACACGGUUCAGAUAUCAUGGAAUGUGUAUAGUCAGAGUGUAAGCGCGGUGGAGGCCAUCGUCUCAAGAAUAUACUCAUUGUACGUAAUUUAUUUUCUUGUGCUUUGCUUGAAACCGACCAUGUACAAAGUGUUGAAAGAGUGGGGACGGCGUAUGCUGCAUGUUCAUGCAUCAAAAUCGCCAUGUCGAUGUAACCUUGGUCUGAUCUGAGUGUUAUAUCAGAUAUGAUUGGUAGGAGCAUUUGCUGUGCAGCUUGUGAUGUUCCCGGUGCAUGUGCGGUUGUUCUACUUGUACGCACUGACAAGGGCCGGCAGGGAGUGAUUCUCUCCAAGGGAAUUAUGCCCAGCGUUGCCUGAUUUCGGUCUCUGCACAGUCAUGCUGUCCUUAACAGUGGCUAGAUUCCGAAAUAGUAAGAAAUUAAGAUUCGGAACUUUUGGUUGUAGCUAGAUUGCUCAGCGGCAUGGCCUCAAAAACAGGUCACCAUCCACCACCUUCUCUUUCGCCGACACCAAAAGCGUAGCGUCCGUAACACACGGGCCUACAGUCUGCUGAUUUAUUUCGUAACCUGCAAAUGAAUCGCCUAUUCACUAUCCCACGUCAACAAAUGAUCAUCCUGUGCUAGCUUAAGCUUACCAAACGAUCUUCGGCUUGACGCCAGAAAAACUUACUGAUCAUCUCGAGUCUCCUUGUCCCUGAAUUAUCGUAAUGAGACGGAACAUGAAAGGCAUGUGUCAUGGCCUCCGCUGGCCGAGUGAUUAUCAGGUGGGUGAGGCCUUGGUUUGUGCCACCGGUUAGCCGCGGCGUCUCUCUCGCAGCGCAGGGAAAGCGGCAGCACGUGAAGCGCCAACGAACCCACCGAGAAAACUUGGAGCAAGCCUCCAAGCCUCCAAGCCGGGACCGCCUCUCGUCGUCCUCCAACUCCGCGGCCCCCUAAUGGUAGAUCUUGUGGGCACGUACAUACGUCCGUAGGCCGUAGCGUAGAUCAAAUGCCCCUGCGCGCGCUCAGGCCGGCCGGCCGGUCCGGUCCGGUGCACGGACGCCUGCGCUCGCCGUGCCGUAUCAUCAAUUUGCUAAUGCACAUGUCCCUUGGUCACAAAUCUUACGAUGUGUACUGUCGACGCGUUUUUACUGCCUCUGGCCCGUUGCCGACGCCGACGCCGAUGCCAUGGCCGUGCGCCGUGGUCCUCGCCCGUCCAUUCGCGGCUACUACAGUUGUGCGCGCCGUCCGUCGUGUAGCGUCUUGUGGGCAUGCGGCGUGCACCGUGUUUAACUUGGUAAGCUAAGCCGCACACGGCGAAGUGUUCGGGUCGGUGGGAGGCGGGUCACCGUACCUACCUAUGCGUCGACAUGUACCCGGUGUACGUACGUGCCGGGCCGCGACGGCGAUGGCUGGGGAGAGGAGAUGGUGGUGGAUUGGUGGUGGCGGUGGUUGCGCGUGGCUGGCGCGGCGGAGUAGGAGUGGUAGGGCGUCGGGGCGGUACCACGCGGAUUGGGUGCGCGUGCACGGCGCCGAGCGCAGGGGGCUGCGUGGCCGGAUGAUAGAUGCGUCGCACGCAGGCGCAGGCAUGUGGGCGUCAUGUGGUAGGGAGUUGGCUGUGGGUGCUACUACUGGGUGAGAUAAGGCUCUGAUAAGAUGUGAUUUGGCUACUGCCGCUCGCGAUUCGCUGCUGCGCUGUCUACUCAUUGCGAGAGUUGGUGCUUGUCACUGAAUGUGAAUGGUACCGUACCGGAGUUAAAUCAAGUGAAAGCAGCAAGUACCACUGCCGGUGCCGGGGUUUAUUUAUGUUGGGUUGCACUGCGGCGCUGCAAUCAUCGCUCUUCCGUGCGGCUUCAUUCGUUCCUUUGCUGGGGCCGGGGGAAACGGGUUGGCCUUGGCCGUCGCCGGCCGAAUGCAAUAUGGCAUCGCGACCCAAAGCUUUUGCUGCGGUAUUGCCGACUUGCAAGUUAAGUUUUUUUUUUUAAUGAACGAGCAAGCUCGGUUGAGAUCCUUGCCUUUUCAACCUUGAACAGCGGUAUUUGUUUUGAUAGAGUAUUUUUCAUUAAUUCAUAUUGAAACACAAGCAGAUGUACAAAAUACAACGAGCACACAGCCAGCCACUACACGACUAGGAUGCACACAACCAAUACACACACAAAGAUAUUCAUCACAAGAUCAAAACUAUGCCUAGGUCAAAUGGAAAAGAAAGAGAAAAGAAAAGGAGAAAGGACUUCGCCGAAGCAGUAGAAACAACCAUUGAUGUGGCAUGCCCUACUGCAAACAUGACUAGUACACAAGUCAUGGUGAGUACGUCGGUCAAUGACAAGCGGUUGCAGGCAACUUCGGCAGUCGUCGACAAAGGGGUGCGAACGGAGGAUAUUACGAAUGAGGCAGCGACAAUGCAUGUGGACGAGGCGGAUGUCGGAAAGAAAGUUGUUGAUGUGAGUUGUAAUUAUGUAAGGACAUGAGGAUUAUAUUGUAAAAGAACAAAAAUCUAAAUGAAGGGAGGUGAGAAGGGGAUCGGUAGAAGACCCCAGAUUUUUCCCCAAUGUCUCCUCUCCUUCAUGAACCCUAGUUCACAAAUCCAUGAGUGACAAGAUGGUAUCAGGGCGGGACGAAUCCUGUGUGGUUCUCCUGUGAUUUCGAUUGAUUUUGGUCGUCGGUGCGGUGCGGUGCUGUGUCGCUCCUAUUGUUGGAGGUGCUUCUGCUGCUGGCUUUGUUGUAGGUGUCGGGAAGCGACCUCGAUUCUGCCUGAAUCAAGUACAACCGGGGAGGCUCCUGCAGCUACCAGUUGAAUUGAAUAGAGCCUGGGCGUCUAGACUCCCUCCCCCGCUACAAGCUAAUUUUUUCUCUCCUGCCAUCCGGCGCCGUGAGCAGGUCUAGUUCGUCCCCAACUUGACUCUCGGACUCCUUGAGCUUCUGUGUUUUUUAUUGCUUUAGAAGAAGAAUCAGUGUUGCCUGGAGCUGCUUUGGUGGUCAGCUGGCCGGAUUAAAUAAUACUAUUUGCUAGUGUUGCAAUCCGAAGUAAUUGCCGUACUCUUUGGCACAUUGUUGAGCCGUACUAGUUGGUUCCUCUUUGUGCUGCACGUAUUUGAUAAGAAGAACCAAGUACUAGUGUUGGAAUAUAUUCUUGCUCACUGAACCAUGGGAGAUCCAAGUACAGAAAAACAGGGGAUUCUAGUGUUGAUAAGAUGUAUGAAAUAUUUAGCAAACUGCUUAAGCACCAGCAGGCUGCUGAGCCAGUUAAGCAUACACUUGAGCCAAAUCCAGUCAAACUAUCAGGACCUGGUGACUACAUCAGUUGGGCACGCCAUGCCAAAUUGAUUUUGAGCGCCAAUGAGUAUGAUUAUUUACUUGUUGGGAGUGAAGAAAGUUUGGAGAAAGGCGGUGCGGGCAGGAAACAAAUCAAUGAUAAAGUACUAGUAUGGCUGUUGGAAAGUAUGGAACCAAAAAUAAGAGAACAAGUGGAAGGCAUGGACACUGUUUGUGAGGUCCGGUCAUCUUUGAAGAAACAAUUUGCAGGGAAAACAAAUAAAAUGCAAGCCACCCAUAUCAUGCAUGAGUUAACUAAUUUGAAGCAGCGCUCAAGAUCUGUAACAGAGUAUCCAGGUGAAGUAAAAAAAUUAUAUAGAAACUUACAUUAUCAUCACCCUUUUGAACCUGUUGACAAGGAUGACUUGGCAAUUCAUCAUGUGUGGUUUGAGUCGUUUGUGAGCAAGCUCUUUCUUGAUGGCCUAGACCAGGAACUAAACCUCCGUCGUCAAUUGAUAUUUGGAAUGCCUGAGUGGCCUAGUCUUGAUGAUAUUAUUUCUAGCAUGAUUGAGGAGGAGACUCGUUUGGCACAACCGAAGGAGGAUGGUCAGGAGCGUGCAGAUGCUCGUGCUGCAUUAUCCAUACAACCUCGCCGUGCUACAAAUUCCUUUGGUAAGGUGGAUAAAAGCAAAUUGCUUUGUGACCAUUGCAAGAGAAAAGGACACACCAAGGAUGAGUGUUUUGAGUUGCAUGGUUAUCCACCUUGGUGGGAUAAAGGGAGAUCUCAGCUAGGGGGAGCUCGGGGUUCAAACAAAAGACAAGCUAAUUACAAUGCAUCUGCAAGGGAACUACAUGUGGUAGAUAUGCAAGCUCUUGAGGAUUUCAAAUCCAAGCUCAAAUUCUCUGAAGGCUCAUCUUCGUCCCAAGGUUCCUCCAAAGUUGAUUCUAGCUUUAAUGCCAUCACCCAAGGUAUGGAAUCCCACCAAGCCCAGUCAAAACCAUGGAUAAUUGAUACUGGAGCUACUAACCACAUGACAGGUGCCUCAAACUUGUUUACUUCAGGCACCUUCCAGUCCAGGCCAGCCAGGGUCCCGGCGACCCUCCUACUCCUACUCCUACCCCUCCCAACUGCCGCUGCCACUGUGCUCACCGAUUCUCAACGGAGGAAAUGGCCAUGCACAGCACACCACACCGCAGUGCACCUACCUAGGGUCGGUCCUCUACCUACCAACCCCCCCACUUUAACGCUAAUCUCCAACAGAAAAAAGGCCAANNNNNNNNNNNNNNNNNNNNNNNNNNNNNNNNNNNNNNNNNNNNNNNNNNNNNNNNNNNNNNNNNNNNNNNNNNNNNNNNNNNNNNNNNNNNNNNNNNNNCGAUUCUCAACGGAGGAAAUGGCCAUGCACAGCACACCACACCGCAGUGCACCUACCUAGGGUCGGUCCUCUACCUACCAACCCCCCCACUUUAACGCUAAUCUCCAACAGAAAAAAGGCCAAAGGCGACGGAGGCUGGACUCACUGGACUGGAAGCCACCCGGCCGGCCUCCUCCUCCUCCUCCUCAGUAGCCCUCACUCUCCCACACUGCUCACUGGUUGGUCGACGAUGAUAAAAACCUCCACACGAUAGGAAUCUCAAGCCAUCCUCCUCCUCCUCCUCCUCCCGGCAGUUUCCUCCACGGCUCCACCACCCCGAGCCCAAGCCAACCGAGCAAAGCGCACGCCAAAGCGAGGGGCUUUGCCUCGAAUCCUGGGCGAGCCGAGCCACGAGCCCCACCACCACUGCUUUCGCCUUUCCGUUCAUUCCAAGAACCGGCGUACGUACAUGGAGCCGGCGGCGGCGGACGGGGCCUCGGACGAGCCGGUGCACAAGGGGCGGACCAACUCCAUCCUGCUCCCCAUCCUCGCCGUGCUCCUCGCCUACCUGCUCUACCGCUACCUCCGCCCGCGCCUCCGCGGCCUGCGCCUCGACCGCCUCCCGUUCCGCGUCCCGGACUGCCUCCGCCGCCGCGGCAAUGCCACCCGGACCACCCUGCUGCCCUACUUCGCGCCCAUCGCCGACCGCCUCGGCGCGCUGCAGCCCUACCUCGGCCCCAUCGCCGACCGCCUCGGGGUCGGCGGCCCGCACGGCCACGGCGGCGGGUACGGCGGCGCCGACGCGCUCGUCAGGUUCCCCGGCGGCGAGGGCCUGUCGGUGGCCGCCAUCCUCGAGGCGCCUGGGGAGGUGGUGGCCAAGUCGUCGCACAGCACGCUCUACCGCGCCGCCAUGCGCUCCGGGGAGACGGCCGUGCUGCUCCGGUUCGUGCGGCCCGCGUGCGCCGUGGGCGCCGACGAGGCCGCCGCCGCCGCGCGCCGGAUCGGCGCCGUCAGCCACCCGAACCUCGUGCCGCUCCGCGCCGUGUACGUCGGGCCCAGGGGCGAGAAGCUGCUCGUGCACCCUUCUACGCCGCCGGCUCGCUCCACCGAUUCUUGCAAGGUCAGUGCAUGCGCAUCACUCACUCUUGCUUUGGUCGACAUGUUCAUCCUGAUUCGUACAAAUGCACAAUUUUGCUACGUCAAAAGUGCACAUGAGCCCACACCGCAAAUGAAACUUUUUCUUAAUUCUAUUUGUUGCGACGAGAUCACACAUGAAACAUUAUGCAAUUACAUUUCGUCACAAAGGGAAAAGCAUGGCGUGGUUGCGAAGCGAGUUCGAAGACUCCAAAAAGGCAGAUCAGCAGCUUUCACUAAACAAAAAUCAUUUGGGCCAUCAGUUUCAACUUUCUUUUUCGAUAAUCAGUAUCAACUUUUGAGGCAAUGUGGAAUGUGUUACACAGUUUGGUUAUGGUACAGAGUCCAUUUCUUAUUUCCAGUUCAUGUUCGCUGGUUCUUAUUAUUAUUGCCUACUGCGGCCAGGCAGGAAACAUUUCUCUGCUUUGGUUGUUAGCCUGAGACCUCACAUGACACUGUCCUGAAGCAAUGGUCCUGGCCAUUAAUGUUACAUAAGGUCAUUAGAUCACCCUUCACAAUCGUGAUCAUUGGGGCACACAAUCAGUCCAGUGUGUUGCUCAGUUAAAACAGUGGUUAGUGCUGUAUAGUCGUCUGUCAAACAGUAGUGAACAUAGUCAUUGUUGUGCCUUAAUUGAAGGCACAUGCACACAUGUGCAGUCUUUUCAAGCCAAAACCAUGCAUUCAUAAUAUUGGCAUUUGUUGUGAUGGUAGCUGAUGAUAGUCUGCCUGUGUGCUGCCAUUUUCACAGAGGGGAUCGCCGACUCGCAGAGAUGGAGCCUGAUCUGCAAGCUCUCCGUGUGCAUCGCCAAGGGGCUCGACCACCUGCACACGGGGAUGGAGAAGCCGAUCAUCCACGGCAACCUCAAGACGAGCAACAUCCUCCUCGACGCCAGCUACGAGUGCAGGAUCUCGGACUACGGCCUCUACCUCCUGCUCAACACCGGCGGCGCCCACGAGAUGCUGGAGGCGUCGGCGGCGCAGGGGUACAAGGCGCCGGAGCUGGUCAAGAUGAGGGACGCCACCAGGG